rnacentral:rRNA from 1 species
GGAAUUGACGGGACCCGCACAAGCGGUGGAUGAUGUGGAUUAAUUCGAUGCAACGCGAAGAACCUUACCUACCCUUGACAUGUCCGGAACUUGCCAGAGAUGGCUUGGUGCCCGAAAGGGAAUCGGAACACAGGUGCUGCACGGCUGUCGUCAGCUCGUGUCGUGAGAUGUUGGGUUAAGUCCCGCAACGAGCGCAACCCUUAUCAUUAGUUGCUACGCAAGGGCACUCUAAUGAGACUGCCGGUGACAAACCGGAGGAAGGUGGGGAUGACGUCAAGUCCUCAUGGCCCUUAUGGGUAGGGCUUCACACGUCAUACAAUGGUCGGUACAGAGGGUUGCCAACCCGCGAGGGGGAGCUAAUCCCACAAAGCCGAUCGUAGUCCGGAUCGCAGUCUGCAACUCGACUGCGUGAAGUCGGAAUCGCUAGUAAUCGUGGAUCAGCAUGUCACGGUGAAUACGUUCCCGGGUCUU